UAUGCUUCAGCUUUCGAGUAGCAGGUGUUUCGGCCAUGGAGUCUGUGACCCUGUCAGCCCAAGGAGUGCCCGUUGACCAUGGCAACGAUUGAGCAAGGUUCUAGGGAAUUUAUGACUUCUCAUGGUAGUCCUUGGGGCGCCAGCAGUAAUUCCUUCUCUGGAGUCUGGUUCGCCACUUUUCCCGGGAUACCAUGCCACUGCUUGGGCAAGGCGCAGGACACAAACUACUGCUCAAUCUGUGACAGAGUCUUACCUUCUAGGCCUGUCACCUUGAUGGAAACCAGGGCACUUGCAUAGCCACCAGUACCUUGGUUCCGGGAAUCCACUGCGCAACGGAUAUUCGGUGGACGAGGACAACGGCAUAGCCAAGUCGCACGACGAAGCCUACAAGCGAGCCACAAGUCGCAAGGACGUCUUUGCAGCUGACCAUGUAUCUGCAGCUCUCUUCUUGAAUUACUUUAGACGCACUGGUAACUGGCACUCUGCAUUAAGUGCAGUCAGUCUGGGCACGAAGAAUAUUGUAGAACUAUACGUUUUGGCCCGCAGCCUCUAUGGAAUGCCAGGGGUUAGACGGAAACGUGCACAUAAUGGGCAAUCAGAUACAGCAGACGCAAAGCGAUACCAGCCUGACUCAAGCACCGGCAAUGCCGAAAUGUCGGCGCUGAUGCAAUCAGAUGCUCCCGUUUGUCCAGGCGGAACAGGAAUAGGAGAUGACUGUGAAAAUUCUGCAGAACUCAUUCAGCAGAUUUUGCAUGUACCACGCGAGCACAGAGUGUUCAUAGUCUUACGUGACAGCAAAUGACUCACCACAUGGGCCUACGCAAUGCUGAAGACGAAUUUAGUGUAUGAUACCGAGAAAGCGUUUCCAGGAGUUUUAACUAGCCUCUCGCGCUUCCCAGUGAACCGGCCAUAUUUUUACAUUCCUCACAGCAGCUACUUUAAUUCACCAUCUCACACAAGAGUUCCGAGUUGCACUGUCAAAGUUACUUCUCAUGAACUAUGCACCCCUUGGAAGUCUGGCUGUUUGGUUGUCCAACCUGUCAACUUUGACAUGCUAGUUAAUGGUCUUAGCUCCGUCGGAUUGAACCACUCCUUGGAUACCGACAUGUGGCGCGUUAAGAAAGGCGAGACAAACAACUCGAUGAAACCGCAGUCUUACACUUCAUUUCAGGAGAAGGACCACACUGAUCUGACUAAGAGCUACUGUGGUCUCAAAAUCACACCGGGAAACGAGGAUCAAGAUGGCAACGACGAAAAGAGCAUACGGUAGCUGCAUGCAUGGGCGUGCCGUGACACAACUUACAGCGGACAGCUAUAAGUUGUGUCGUUUAGCUGUAUGUGGCUAAAUGCAUUUCAGUAGGUCUCGCGUUUCUCGUUCACAAAGGGUAAUACUAGCUUGGAAAUAAUUUAAAUAAACACAGACAAAGUUGAUUAUGUUCAGAUGGCCCCAAUGUCAGUGCAGCUUGUACUUACGGCUAGGACGCAUCACUACGGCAUACAAACACAUGCAAAUCCCAAGAGCAGUAAGGCACAAAUUCGAAAAUGCUUUUCUCGCUUGAAACAAAAAUAAUUUAAUAAAACAUUCUGAGUGAAUAGGCAAUGAAAGUUGCUAGUAAAUCUGCUAGGGAGCAUGUUUUGAGUAGGACCCCCUAAAUGUUUAAUUCAUGGCCGAACAUCUGCAAAAAGGAUCAUUUUGCAACUUAGUCGCCACCUGUACGGUUCAUUUUGCACUAUAUACGCCCGAAAUAAUUUGCGGUCUACAGUAAAAACAUCCGGCAAUAUGCUUAUGUCAACUACCGCAUAUCACCAACUGAUGUCUUUCUAUGAAAAAAUCCCCAAUAUUGACCAUAUUCUCCAUAUUCGAGGCCACAUAAAAAAUUCACGACAGUGUAAAGUUUUAUAAAACUUGUUUUAAGCAAAAUGUCUAUCAUUGUCCUAAAGGUAAAAAUUUAUUUUGACCUAAUUUAGGAAGAACAGAUUUUUCCACGUGUUUUACGGGCUAUGGUUUUGAGCUUUUAGAAAAAAAUUCACAUGAAGCUUGCGGUACUGGAAAAUGUUUUCCGCGAGAAAUGUUUCUAAGGAACAGUUUUGGCUUUGUGUAGACAGUUCUGAAUUUUUUUUUUUUUUAAGCGAAUCGCAUAUGGUCGAAUGCCGAGGUUGGACAGCUAGUGUGGAAUGACUCAGAUCGCACAUAUUAUUAUUAUUAUUAGACCACAUAUCUCUGGGUGAACACGAAAAGUAAAGCAAACAAAAGAUGUCUCGGCCAAGGUUCUGCUGCAGUAAAGUGAUUAGGUACAUGCAACCUUCGUUUUUGGCCAAUUACGGAUGAGCACAUGGUGUCUUUACAUCUGCGAGAAAGGCUUCUUGCGGGCUCUGCUGUAUGCUUAGGUGGUCGGCAGUGCUAUAAAUUUUUUAGUGUUUAAAGUCCUAAAUAUUUUGAUGUUUUUUAUUUUUAUGUGCGAAUUCCAUACUGUUAGUCUGCAUUAUCCACAAAUACUAAAUGUUGGGUUUCUAAAGUAAUGGAGGUCCCUUUAUAUUGUGCUGUGUUCUCUUGAGAUCUGAGGUUCUUCCUGUGUCUAGGUUUUGUAAUCUGUGUAUUUCUUGUAGCUUUUUGAGCAUGUGGGGUUGUAGUGUUUUAUAUUUUUAUAUAAGUGCUCAUUUGUUAAAUGUUAAACCAUUUUGUCACGGGGUCGUGAUGUGGCUGAAGACAGGAGACUUUGCGUUGGAAUUUAACUGUUUAUUUGGGCGAACCUGUACCCGGUAAACGAAAAGUCCGAUUAUAGUAGCAGUCUUGGACUGAUAGCGGCGAACAGAGGGUCGGUCGUCGAUCAACUACUGAUAAGCGGCGGAGCGCGUCGGGAUUUAUACUCUUGCCGUCGAUUGUUCUAGCGUUAUCGCUGGCGGUGGCGUAGGUUCCAGAAUAAUCUGUACAGUUCGCAGAGUAGGCGUGAUCUUAUCGAAAUUAUCUACUACAGUCCGGAAGCUUCUCGAAAACUGCAGGCGCCGUUUGCGCUGAGAAUUGUGUAGUGUUUUGGGACGGUAACAAAACUUGGAAAAAUGGAACGUGGCAAUAUUAUUAUAAAAGAAUACUAUACCUCAUUAUAAAUUUACUAAGAUAUAUAUUACAAGGUAAUACUGAAUACUGUCACUUGUGCAAGUGUUUCUAGUGCCCUUAAAUAAAUUCCAUUUGUGUUUAUACAUUGGUAAUUUGUCAUAUUUCAGUAUCUGCAGUGAUAGUUUGUGAACAGAUUUACUAUUGUUUGUGUUGAAUUGUUCGUGCCAGGUCGAGUUAUGGGUUCAGUGCAUUAUUUUAUUGUUGCCAUUCAAUUGCGAUGUUAUGACAUACCUUAUUAUUCAUAUCACUGAGAAUAGUUUGGCUUUCUAAUACCUACAUUUGUCUAACUAUGGCUUCCAGAGCACUCUAGAUGUGGUGUGUGUGGCGAAUGGUUGUGAGCGCUUCACUCUGUGAACUGUGGCAUUUCCGGGCCUCUAAUUCUGCUGCUUGAAACAGUGAAAAAAUGUUUGUACUACAAUAAAUCUGGAAAAAAUUUUA